AGAGAGAGAGAGAGAGAGAGAGAGAGAGAGAGAGAGAGAGAGAGAGAGAGAGAGAGAGAGAGAGAGAGAGAGAGAGAGAGAACAAAACAGUCAGAUCCAUGAAGAGGAGUUCCGAGUGGGGGUUAGGAACAAGUUGGGCACAAAACCUGUUCUUGUACCAGUAGAUAGAGACUUAGUGGUUAGUAAUGCAUGUUUUGUACCAACCCUUCCUUCCUUCCUUCCUUCCUUCCUUCCUUCCUUCCUUCCUUCCUUCCUUCCUUCCUUCCUUCCUUCCUUCCUUCCUUCCUUCCUCUCUUUCUUUUCUUCCUUCCUUUCCUUUCUUCCUGUCUUUCUUUCAUUCUUCCUUUCUUCCUUCAUUCAUUCCCAGUGUUUUAAGUUAUAUUGUUAUACUGAUGCUGUUAAUGAUGGGCUGUCUGGCUCAAACGACUACAGUGACGACUACUACUACUACUACUACUACUACUACUACUACUACUACUACUACUACUACUACUACUACUACUACAUGCCAGACAGUUUCAGACGUUAAACAGAAAAUGAUAAUUUUUGUGUAUAUUUAUUUUUUAUAUGAGUUUUUAAAAAGUUGAGUACCAUUUUGUGAAGAGUAGGAGGAGGAGGAAGAAGAAGAAGAAGAAGAAGAAGAAGAAGAAGAUGAUUUCCUCCUCCCUGUCUUGACAUUCCAUCUUAUUUUCAUUCUUAUUAUUAUUGUUAUUAUUAUUAUUAUUAUUAUUAUUAUUAUUAUUAUUAUUUAUAUUGGUCAUUGUUUCCAUGUCUUGUGUCUCCUCCUUCUCCUCCUCCUCCUUCUCCUCCUCCUCCUCCUCCUCCUCCUCCUCCUCCUCCUCCUCCUCCUCCUCCUCCUCCUCCUCCUUCUUUUCUUCUAUAUUCCACUCAUUUAUUCUAUCAUUCAUUUAAUCAUUAUUCAUUAUUUUGUACAUCCUCUUCCUCCUCUUCCCAAUACAAUCGUGUAGAGUUUUGUAAUAAAGUGAAAUGUUGU